AUGGCGUGUCUGCCAAACGAGCUGAUCGUGUGGGAAAUCCUAGUUCGUCUGCCCGUCAAAUCACUGUGGCGGAUAAGGUGCGUCUGCAAGGACUGGCGCGACACCAUCUCCGGCGAUCCUUCCUUCGCUCAGUCGCACCUCCACCGACUUCGCAAGCAAAAAGAAAAAUACCAUAGCCUGCUCAUCGCACCACGUGUCUAUCGCAAAGUGGUCGAAUCUAGGAUAGACCGGUAUGAGGUCAUCAAUCCGGGAUUGUACUUGUGGGAGGAGAGCCGGCAGCAUGCCUCGACCCUCUUACAUGACACCUCCUCGUUCCCUGUGGAGGAGACGCGGAUCAGGCACGGGUUCGCACACUGCGAUGGACUUGUGUUGUUGCCGACUGAGGAUAUCGUGCGCGUGCUCAAUCCAACCACACACACCAAGUCCUCGAGCUGCCUUGGAGCCCCAACAGCAUCGCACCGCGCCGGUGUCGUACACACAAAGGCCACCAGGCGUUUGGCUUUGGUCGCAGCCAUCGCUCCAACGCCUACAAGGCCGCUCGCUUCUUCUAUCGUGAAAAGCGUGCCAUGGGUGGUAUUGGGAUGGAGCCUCGAGGACGAGUCAUUUAACAUCAUGACGGGUCCUCCACGGCUUGAAGGACCCGACUGUUGCUGCGUCGUUCGCGAGCUGCUGCCGAGACCUGCGACAUCAUCUCCAAGCUACGGCACCGAGUGCUGCGCCCAAUCUAAGCCGGUACUAGUACUUGUGGCUGCCGUUGGAGAACCGUGA
rnacentral:rRNA from 1 species